CUCUCAAUAGCUCAGCUGGAAGAGCGCAAGACUGUAAUUGUACCACACCACAACGUCAUCUUGAGGUAGACACCACCCAUGCGGUUCUAAAAAUAGAACGACGCUAACCCCAUUCGGAUUAGGCCCGCGGUUCGAUCCCGCGUUGGGAGA